CAAGAGGUAAGGGGAAACGAGGACGGGAGAGAGGGGCAACACCUGGCUAAAGAAAGGGCCUGCUGGGGACAACUAGAUGGUCACAUUAUAGGACUCAGAAUGAGGAGGUGGUAUGAAGCCUAUUCCCGGGCAUAACGGUGCCAAUAUUAGGGAACUAUAGAACUGGGAGGUAAUUUGCUCUCCCUGCAGCUUUGAUAACGGGUUCACUGAAAGACUAAUUGCUUAGGGGGGGCUGUGGAGGGGAGGAUGCCAGGGGCUUGGUCUGAGGACCACAGCUGAGCAGAAUGGGGACCAAACAGAAAUCUUGAAAUUUCUCUGGCGAAGGGAGAUAGAGCUCUAUCUAGAUGCAUGAUGUCCAGGACUUCUGCUGAGCAUAUCAGAGACCAGAUAAUAAAUGCUGACUCGCUUGGGCUUCAAGUGGAGCUCAGAGUUACCAUGGAUGCUUAGCUCGUACAAGGCUCUAGAUUCAGUUUCCAGCAAAAGAAAAACAAGAUCAAAGCAAAGCAACAGCAAAGCUGAAAUUCCCUUCAAGGGGAAGCCCAAAGCCACUCACAGGCAGCCUGCUGUGGAUGAGAUUGUCACCCUUGAAAGUGACCAGCAGACAUCUGGGGUCACACAGUCAUUGCCUCAGAUCUUCUCCAAGAAAAGAACGGAAAAACGCCAAGAAGAUUGUUCUGCCCUCCACGAGCCAGAAAUAAUCUUUCUGGAGUUAUGGUGGAUGUUUGAGUGCAUUUACCUUUAGUGCUUGACGGAAACAGUAAUUUCUGCGUGAAACGUGUAAUUUGGACACUUAGCGCGCUAAAUGCUAAGUAGACGUCGCGUUCAAGAGCGCACCAUUUAGAGCCGGAGACUAUUUUAGCAGUCUGCCAGAAGAGGGCACCAGACCCCAUUACAGAUGGUUGUGAGCCACCAUGUGGUUGCCGGGAAUUGAACUCAGGACCUUUGGAAGAGCAGGCAGUGCUCUUAACCACUGAGCCGUCUCUCCAGCCCUGGCCAGGGAAGACAGCAUGAAGAAUGGCGGAUGAUGAAGGCCUCCACUCAGGGCUUCCCUCCCAGCUGGCUCCACUGUGUACCUACAGGACUAGGCACGUUGUGUGCCAGAGGUCAAUACUGGCUUUGUAACACUGAUGCUUCAUUUAUCUUUUCUAAAAUGU